GUAGAUAUUCUCUUUCAAACAAAAAAGAUUUAUUAAAGUGAUCUAAUGUGACCCAUCUUAUUUUUCGAUUCAGCCUGUAACAUCCCACAGCUGGGCAUAGGCAUCAUUCUCAAUUUCGGAGAAGGAUUGGACCUUAAUCCAUCAUGCUGCUCCACUGCAGAAUGUACGGGAAUCAUAAUGGCAACAACAGCGAUCAACUCCAGAGAGGUGUAGGGUUUUCCAAUCCGUAUACU
rnacentral:misc_RNA from 1 species